AUGACACAGGAUGAUGGGAACCAAGGACCUGGAGCAAGACUGGUGACUGCUGCUAGCACCACAGGGCAGACAGCUUAGGAUCAACCUGCCAGCGUCUGGAAUGGGAGCCAGGCCUCUGCACUGAGACCACUGCUGUUCUGGGGAGCUGAGUGGGUGCUAUCUGUGAAGAAGAGGUGAAGAAUGUUCCAGGACAGCUCUGCAGGUCUGGAACACAGCAGUCCCUGGCGACAGACCAGGAAGAGGACCAGGGUGCUGUCUUUGGCUCAGAGGAAGGACUAGCCCACACUGCAGCCAAAGGAGCCUUUGCCCUCCCUUCUG